CCUACGGGUGGCUGCAGUGGGGGAUAUUGCACAAUGGCGGGAACCCUGAUGCAGCGACGCCGCGUGGGUGAAGAAGCGCCUCGGCGCGUAAAGCUCUGUUAGUAGGGAAGAAAAUGACGGUACCUGAAGAUGAAGCCCUGGCCAACUACGUGCCAGCAGCCGUGGUAACACGUAGGGGGCCAGCGUUAUCCGGAUUGACCGGGUGUAAGGGGGGCGCAGACGGCGAUGCAAGCCAGGAGUGAAAGGCCGGGGCCCAACCCCGGGACUGCUCUUGAAACUGCGUGGCUGGAGUGCGGGAGGGGCAGGCGGAAUGCCUGGUGUAGCGGUGAAAUGCGUAGAUAUCAGGAGGAACACCGAUGGCGAAGGCGGCCUACUGGACUGCAACUGACGUUGAGGCCCGAAAGCGUGGGGAGCAAACAGGAUUAGAUACCCCAGUAGUC
rnacentral:rRNA from 1 species